AUAAUCAGUAGAAUUCGUCAUGUUGCUUUAUUUGUUCUGUUUCACUGUGAAAACAGAGUCGGUGUGCAACAAUGCAAAUCAGAUUCAUCAUCUACAAGAGUCGGUGUCCAACCAUGUCCUCCUAUAGAGCUCAUGUUCCUAUGCUUGCGUAGAAGAUUAUGAUAUGGAAGUACUCUUGACUUUCCAUGGUAGUUUCUUUUUUGCCCAGUUUGCUUUGUUCAAUUGCAUAUACUGUAACUAAGAACGAGGCAGCAUAUGCAGAUUUUGGUACUGGAUUAUUGGUCACACAUAUGAGAGUUGUGAACCGGGGACGAUCAUGUAUUUCAUAAGCGAGCAAGGUAAAUUAUUUUUUAUCCAUUUGAAGAAACAGAGCUCUACCCGUUGCAUUAUAUUUGCAUGCCUAGAGGCAAUACUUUCUUUUCUUUGUCACGGCCCUUUCCAUCCACCGUACUGUAGAAUGCCUGCAUACAGAGGCAAUUAAAGUGGUAGAUUUUGGCCAGUUCUGAACGGCAAUGCACCAUAGUAUUUCUAACGUUCUAUUCAUGUCAUUCUGUACCGUUCCGAACUCAUAUUUUGUUGCUCCUAGAAGAUAAUAAAGUGUCCAUAUCGUUAAUCAUAUAAAUGGUAUUUCAGGCACAAGCAGAGUUCUGCAUGAGAAAUAUCAAAUAUCCAUUUAUUAUAGGAAAUGUUACCUUUUCUAACAUAGCAUAUAAUUAUAGAAUUGACAUAAGAUUGUUAUGCUUUUGCUUAAGGUUUUUCCGUACCUAUGGUAUACAUAUUGUUUUCUGCUUAAUGAUAUUCCAUAUCAAUACUAGCACAAUACCUCAAGUAAUACAUUGAUGUCAUAUACCUGGAUGCAUGGUUUUGUCAUUAUUUUACCGUCAACUUCAAUUGAUAGCUACGAGAAAUAUUUCAUCACGGAGUCGCUUGGUUCUUCUGCUGACAAAGACUUCUACAUGAAAGACCAAGAAGAACAUGUUUCUAGAGAUAUCUUGAUAUCUUUGCAUUUUCUCUACCAACUGUCAGUUUAGAUACUUCAUUUACCCGCAAAAAAAGUUUAGAUACUUCAUUAAGUAGAAUUCUUAAUUAGUAAUCUAUUUAUUCGUUUCGACUGACCGCACAACAGAUAUAGGAAUAACAAACAAAAAUAUUGUAACGCUACCAUGCUAUUUAGCACGAUAUGUUUCAAUAGAUAUCCAUUCAGUACAUUGUUAUUUGAUUUUUCCAGUUAGAUAAAUCUUUUGAGAUGUUACAUAGAUUUUAAUAAUUACAGUCUUUAGCAAAAAAAAAUUGAAUGAUGUUUGUUUUAAUGUGUAGCACAACUGAUCAUGAGGAAGUUGGCAGCUUUGACUUCUUUAUAUAAUCGCCUCUACCAACUGUCGCCUUUUGUUUUCAAGCACUAUAUGAUAUUUGUUAGUUUUCUACAUUUUUAAUAGCUUAUUUUUCCGCUGCAACGCGCAGGGUCCUGGGUACCUGCAUGAUUAAGGAAGAAAUUGGUUAUUACUAAAUGUGCUAUUGCAUAUCAAAGGUGAGCUCAUCCUGUUUUCUUUCUUCAAUCUCUGUCGAAGAUUUAUCUCCAUUUUCCUUGCAUUUGUCAUGCUAAUUCUUUGUGUAGAUGUGCUAGCUAGCUUACAAUUCGUAUCAUCAUUUUUGUCGUUGAGUAGAACUCAACUGGGGAUUUGCUCUUUGCAUCUGAACUGUGUGUCCUAUGAUGUGCUUUACUCUAUUGAGUUAUUGCCCUGAAUUAAUGAAAGGACAUCUGGAGAUAAAAUUAUUGAUUGGUAGGCCCUCGGUUUAUUUAACUAUUCUAUAUUUUUAGAGACUGCAAUCCAAAUCAUAUGUUAUUUCUUCUUUGGGAUGAAAUAGAUCAUACGUGUGGCAUCGACCAAAACCAUAGUCUGAUCUUACAAGGCCUUAUUGAUUGUUGAUUCUACUUUCAUGGUCUGGUCUAUCCGAGGUGCAACCAAGAUCAGGCAAGAGGACAAUGUCUAGGUUGUUUCGAUAGAAUAUCCUACUGACUGAAGCUCAAAGCCUGAAGUCCCUAGCCCAGUGUUAAAAAGUUCAGUCAAUCCGUAGCUAUAGCUGGAAUCACAUAGAGCAGUGGCUACUCCGGAAACUCUUGUUCUGAUCACUUCCAGGUAAUUGGUUAGGAUUCAUAUGGUCUCUUCCAAGCUAUGACGGAUGGUAUACUGCAUACUGAUGAGGAUAGAUGAUUUAUUUUGACGUACUAUUUUAGAUAGUGAUACUGAACUGUUAUUCUACGGAUAGGUUUUUUUUUUUGCAUUUUUCCUCUGCUAGGAUAUAUAUUAAUGGAUAAACAGUGUGUACAUGUUAACCUUUUGUCCGCGAUGGCCGUAUUAGCAUGCCUAGCUACCAAGUAUAAAUAGCAUGUGCGUCACUCAGAAAUAGAGCAUCCCGGUGGAAUAUGGAUGGUGUAAGAAUUUGGAAAUUUCUCUCAUUUUUGAUUGAAUCUCUCAGAAAAAUAAAUGCUGAUGUGUGCUGAUACAUUGCUAAACAUAUAUGAUAUGAACUCACUUCUCUUUAUUGAUUGUUGGUUUACUUUCUUGCCCUGCAAUGGCUCUCCUUGGAAUGUUGUUCCAUGCUUAAAUGCGCACAAUCCAGAAAGUGCGUGUAUCCAGAAAUCAAACAUCUCUUGUGUGUUAUCUUCUCAUAAAAUUUGUGUUGUCCCAAUAAGAAUAAGGGAGGUGGGGGGCCGGCCGUCUCUGUGCCUCCUCGACGCCGAGAUGCGGCUGCCCCGUGCUCUCUCUCUCUCUCUCUCGGAAACGAGGCAGCCACCUAGAAACCAUUGUUUUUCCAGCAACUAUGUGGUUCAUAUGUUGAUAUGAUUGUUCAUAUGUUGAUAUGAUUGUUUGCUGGUAGGAGAACCAGGAGGGAGUGCAAUAUCCUUAUUAGUUGUACUCAGGGAUGCAAAAUCUUCACCUGAUGAUUCCACCCCUUUUUACAUGACACUAGCUGCUGCACAGUCAAAAGUGUCUCGCAGAUGCUCUUUAUGACACCAACUGACAGAUUAAUGAGUGCACUCAUAGAGAACAUAACAAGGUAUUUUAGGAAGUGCUUGGACCAGGUUCAAAUUUUUGAUAGUCCUCGGCACGCUUUUUUACAGUGUUGGUUUCAAGUUUUUUUCGGCACAGCUAGACUUUCUGAAAUAAUGCCUUGAACUACACAUGUUCUAUACAAAGCUUGUUUAGUUCUCUAAAAGCUGCACAUGUCACAUACAGUUUGCGAGAACAUGUGCAGAUUUGUGAGAACUAAAAAAACUUUUUCCAGAACAUAUCCAUUGAUAGUAAGAUUGUUUGUCAUAAUGAAAGGAGACAAUGCGUUUGAUAUAGCUUGUCAUGAGAUAAUGAAACAAUAGUGUUUAUUUGGUCACCAGCAAGAUGAUGAUGUGAAGAAUGACUAUUUGCGUCUUUCAGAGUUUCUACCAUCAAAUAGUUUCCCAUAACAGAAUAUUUGCUAAUAUUGGUAGCUAACAAUUGAGAUACUUAUGCUUGUUGAUGCCUUCCCUUUUUGUAGUAACAUCCAUGUGUCCAGCAUAUGUAGAAUAUUAGAAUUUUAUUGGCUGUUUAUUGUAGUUUGUUCUCAGGGUUUGGAAAAUUCUUUAGCUAUAUUCCUUGUCUCAAGCGAGCAUGAGCAAUAUCUUCUUUAUGCCGCAUGCCGCCAAGUUUCUCUAUUUUAAAUGGUUGUGUCUUUCCGCUUCUAAAAAGGGAUAUAUAUUUUAUUAAUCUGACUAUAAUUUGUGGUAGGUACAUAUUGAAGGAUGUUCUGAGGCUAGCACCUGGUUUAGAAGUUUUGCAAUUCACAGCAAUACCUCAUAAUUUUGAUUUGAUGUCCAGAAUGUCAAUUGAAGAAUGAGCCUACAAACUACAUUGUAGUUUGUAAUAUAUCCUUAUAUAUGGUGCUUGUGUUUUUUUUUUCAAUUAUAAGUUUACAUUUAUGGGUAUUACAAAGUCCCCCUUUCUUUUUCCACAAGGGGCAGUAGCUGUGCCAUUCGAUUCGAAGGACAAAGAGUUGAUCACAACGGGGUAGCAUUCAGGAUAUAUACACAAGAGUAUAGAACCAAAUUAUAUGAUGUAAUUGACCACUAUUUCUAUUAACUUUUCUUGUACACAAUGUUACAAGUUCAUGUAUUAGGUACAUUUUAUUGUUUACUCUCUUUUUUAAUGCAA
rnacentral:lncRNA from 1 species